rnacentral:rRNA from 1 species
AGGACGAACGCUGGCGGCGUGCUUAACACAUGCAAGUCGAACGGUGAAGCCCUUCGGGGUGGAUCAGUGGCGAACGGGUGAGUAACACGUGGGUAAUCUGCCCUGCAUUCUGGGACAAGCCUUGGAAACGAGGUCUAAUACCGGAUACGACGCAUCUCCGCAUGGGGUGUGCGUGGAAAGCUCCGGCGAUGCAGGAUGAACCCGCGGCCUAUCAGCUUGUUGGUGGGGUGAUGGCCUACCAAGGGCGACGACGGGUA